rnacentral:rRNA from 1 species
GGCUGCGUAAAGCCUAGCCAUCGUUCGGCCUUCGGUACCACAGUAGAGCUUGCUCUCGGGUGACGAGUGGCGGACGGGUGAGUAAUGUCUGGGAAACUGCCUGAUGGAGGGGGAUAACUACUGGAAACGGUAGCUAAUACCGCAUAACGUCGCAAGACCAAAGAGGGGGACCUUCGGGCCUCUUGCCAUCAGAUGUGCCCAGAUGGGAUUAGCUAGUAGGUGGGGUAACGGCUCACCUAGGCGACGAUCCCUAGCUGGUCUGAGAGGAUGACCAGCCACACUGGAACUGAGACACGGUCCAGACUCCUACGGGAGGCAGCAGUGGGGAAUAUUGCACAAUGGGCGCAAGCCUGAUGCAGCCAUGCCGCGUGUAUGAAGAAGGCCUUCGGGUUGUAAAGUACUUUCAGCGGGGAGGAAGGUGUUGCGGUUAAUAACCGCAGCAAUUGACGUUACCCGCAGAAGAAGCACCGGCUAACUCCGUGCCAGCAGCCGCGGUAAUACGGAGGGUGCAAGCGUUAAUCGGAAUUACUGGGCGUAAAGCGCACGCAGGCGGUCUGUCAAGUCGGAUGUGAAAUCCCCGGGCUCAACCUGGGAACUGCAUUCGAAACUGGCAGGCUAGAGUCUUGUAGAGGGGGGUAGAAUUCCAGGUGUAGCGGUGAAAUGCGUAGAGAUCUGGAGGAAUACCGGUGGCGAAGGCGGCCCCCUGGACAAAGACUGACGCUCAGGUGCGAAAGCGUGGGGAGCAAACAGGAUUAGAUACCCUGGUAGUCCACGCCGUAAACGAUGUCGACUUGGAGGUUGUGCCCUUGAGGCGUGGCUUCCGGAGCUAACGCGUUAAGUCGACCGCCUGGGGAGUACGGGCCGCAAGGGUUAAAACUCAAAUGAAUUGACGGGGGCCCGCACAAGCGGUGGAGCAUGUGGUUUAAUUCGAUGCAACGCGAAGAACCUUACCUACUCUUGACAUCCAGAGAACUUUCCAGAGAUGGAUUGGUGCCUUCGGGAACUCUGAGACAGGUGCUGCAUGGCCUGUC